UGGCUCAGAGGUUAAGAGCACUGGAUUGCUCUUCCAGAGGUUCUGAGUUCAAUUCCCAG
rfam:Cricetulus griseus cell line CHO-K1, whole genome shotgun sequence.